rnacentral:rRNA from 1 species
AUGAACGCUAGCGGCAGGCUUAACACAUGCAAGUCGAGGGGCAGCGGGAUGUAGCAAUACAUUGCCGGCGACCGGCGGAUGGGUGCGUAACGCGUAUGCAACCUACCUUAUACAGGGGAAUAACCUUUCGAAAGGGAGACUAACACCCCAUAGUAUUGAUUUAAGGCAUCUUAGAUUAAUUAAAUAUUUAUAGGUAUAAGAUGGGCAUGCGUAUGAUUAGCUAGUUGGUAAGGUAACGGCUUACCAAGGCGACGAUCAUUAGGGGUUCUGAGAGGAAGGUCCCCCCACACUGGUACUGAGACACGGACCAGACUCCUACGGGAGGCAGCAGUGAGGAAUAUUGGUCAAUGGGCGCAAGCCUGAACCAGCCAUGCCGCGUGCAGGAAAAGACGGCCUUAUGGGUUGUAAACUGCUUUUACAUAAGACUAACCGUAUAUUUGCGAAUAUACCUGAAUGUAUUAUGAGAAUAAGGAUCGGCUAACUCCGUGCCAGCCGCAGC